rnacentral:rRNA from 1 species
GUGGGGAAUUUUCCGCAAUGGGCGAAAGCCUGACGGAGCAAUACCGCGUGAGGGAUGACGGCCUUCGGGUUGUAAACCUCUUUUAUCAAGGAGGAAGUUCUGACGUGUACUUGAUGAAUAAGCAUCGGCUAACUCCGUGCCAGCAGCCGCGGUAAGACGGAGGAUGCAAGUGUUAUCCGGAAUCAUUGGGCGUAAAGCGUCUGUAGGUGGUUCUAAAAGUCCACUGUUAAAGAUUGAAGCUUAACUUCAAAGAUGCCGUGGAAACUUUCAGACUAGAGUAUGGUAGGGGUAGAGGGAAUUUCCAGUGGAGCGGUGAAAUGCGUAGAUAUUGGAAAGACCACCGAUGGCGAAGGCACUCUACUGGGCCAUUACUGACACUGAGAGACGAAAGCUAGGGGAGCAAAUGGGAUUAGAUACCCCAGUAGUCCUAGCCGUAACGAUGGAUACUAGAUGUUGUGUGUAUUGACCCAUGCAGUAUCGUAGC